rnacentral:rRNA from 1 species
GAUGAACGCUGGCGGCGUGCCUAAUACAUGCAAGUUGAGCGCUGAAGGUUGGUACUUGUACCGACUGGUUGAGCAGCGAACGGGUGAGUAACGCGUGGGGAAUCUGCCUUUGAGCGGGGGACAACAUUUGGAAACGAAUGCUAAUACCGCAUAAAAACUUUAAACACAAGUUUUAAGUUUGAAAGAUGCAAUUGCAUCACUCAAAGAUGAUCCCGCGUUGUAUUGGCUAGUUGGUGAGGUAAAGGCUCACCAAGGCGAUGAUACAUAGCCGACCUGAGAGGGUGAUCGGCCACAUUGGGACUGAGACACGGCCCAAACUCCUACGGGAGGCAGCAGUAGGGAAUCUUCGGCAAUGGACGAAAGUCUGACCGAGCAACGCCGCGUGAGUGAAGAAGGUUUUCGGAUCGUAAAACUCUGUUGGUAGAGAAGAACGUUGGUGAGAGUGGAAAGCUCAUCAAGUGACGGUAACUACCCAGAAAGGGACGGCUAACUACGUGCCAGCCGCCGCAGUAA